rnacentral:rRNA from 1 species
GAUGAACGCUGGCGGUAUGCUUAACACAUGCAAGUCGAACGGAUGUUUUCGGACAUUAGUGGCGGACGGGUGAGCAACGCGUGAGAAUCUGGCUCUAGGUCGGGGACAACAGUUGGAGACGACUGCUAAUACCGGAUAUGCCGCAAGGUGAAAGAUUAAUUGCCUGGAGAUGAGCUCGCGUCCGAUUAGCUAGUUGGUGUGGUAAGAGCGCACCAAGGCGACGAUCGGUAGCUGGUCUGAGAGGACGAUCAGCCACACUGGGACUGAGACACGGCCCAGACUCCUACGGGAGGCAGCAGUGGGGAAUUUUCCGCAAUGGGCGAAAGCCUGACGGAGCAAUACCGCGUGAGGGAGGAAGGCUCCUGGGGUUGUAAACCUCUUUUCUGAAGGAAGAAUUCAAUGACGGUACUUCAGGAAUCAGCAUCGGCUAACUCCGUGCCAGCAGCCGCGGUAAU